rnacentral:rRNA from 1 species
CAGUAGCCGCGGGAAUACGUAGGUCCCGAGCGUUGUCCGGAUUUAUUGGGCGUAAAGCGAGCGCAGGCGGUUAGAUAAGUCUGAAGUUAAAGGCUGUGGCUUAACCAUAGUAUGCUUUGGAAACUGUUUAACUUGAGUGCGGAAGGGGAGAGUGGAAUUCCAUGUGUAGCGGUGAAAUGCGUAGAUAUAUGGAGGAACACCGGUGGCGAAAGCGGCUCUCUGGUCUGUAACUGACGCUGAGGCUCGAAAGCGUGGGGAGCAAACAGGAUUAGAUACCCCCGUAGUCCCUGUCUCUUAUACA